GUAGAACCAGAAUGGAUGGUUUUGUGCUUAUUACCGGUUCUUCCUCCCGAAUUGAGACCUAUUGUUUAUAGGUCUGGAGAUAAAGUAGUGACUUCAGACAUUAAUGAACUUUAUAAGAGAGUUAUCCGUCGGAACAACAAUCUUGCCUAUCUAUUAAAAAGAAGUGAAUUAGCGCCAGCAGAUUUAGUAAUGUGCCAGGAAAAAUUGGUACAAGAAGCCGUGGAUACACUUCUUGAUAGUGGGUCCCGCGGGCAACCGACGAGGGAUGGUCACAAUAAAGUAUACAAAUCACUUUCAGAUGUAAUUGAAGGUAAAGAGGGAAGGUUUCGCGAGACUCUGCUUGGGAAACGGGUCGAUUACUCGGGGUGUUCUGUCAUUGUUGUGGGUCCUUCGCUUUCAUUACAUAUGUGGAUUACCUCUAGAGAUAGCAAUAAAGCUUUUUCAGCUAUUUGUAAUUCGUGAUUUAAUCACGAAACGCGCCACUUCUAA
rnacentral:rRNA from 1 species